ACCCGGGAGGCGGAGAUUGCAGCAAGCUGAGAUCGUGCCACUGCACUCCAGCCUGGGCAACAGAGCAAGACUGUCUCAAAAAAACAACAACAAAAAAACAAGAAAACCACCAAACAAAAAAGACGGACUCCUCUUGCGCUGGGCAUGUACUGACUGCAUUUUGCUUCUUAAUUCCUCCGUCGAUGGACACUGGGGUUACUUUCAGCACUUCGAGCUUGUGAAUAGUGCUGCUGUGAACCCUGACGCACAAAUGCUUGUUUGACAGUGAGGAAGAAGAAAGCCGUUCAUAUCGCACAUUUCUGAGUCCCCUGCGGUUUGAAUAUCUGCUAUUACAGUAAGUAAAUGACAUGGCCUGUGUCUCGGCUUCCCGGGGACCAGGUCGUACAGGUGAUGGAGAUGAUACAGGAGGACCAUGAUGGCCCCUCCCCUUUGACCAGAGUCUGGGCACAGUGUGGAAAUGAACAUCCGUUCUCCCCCUAGAUUAAGUGGGCCAUUGCCGGCUCCUGCCCCUAGAGAUGUCGAAGCACAGAUGCAUAAGUCCUGCUUACCUUUCAGGCCAAAUAUCCCUGGCGCCCCUUUGUCACCAGGUACCCCGGAGAUGUUGGAAGGGGGCGUGAUGCCGGGGAACCCCUGAAGUCCUGGACUCCCAGGUGGGCCUCGUUCCCCUUAGGAUGAAAACAGAAGACGUUAUUUUCAGCAUUAGCACCCAACUUUUCAAAUCUACUGUUUUCCCUCCACACCAUCACCUGUGCUGGACCAGAGCCUAGUGAGUGAGACAGUGAUGGGAGGUGCCCUCAGACCAAGGAUCAUCUCAUGAUGGGGCUGGGGAGGCUCUCAGGGUGGGGUUGGGGAGGGAGGGGCUGUGAACCCCUCCCCCAGCUCCAGCCUUUCUCCUGUGAGGAGCCCUCCACUGGGAUCCUUCUGCCUGUGCUCCACUUCCCCAAGGCACUGCCCGAUCAUGCUUAGAUGGAGCCUCAGCCCCAGGCGUAGCACAGCCGCUCAGAUUCUGAUCCUGAUACAUGUGGACAGAGGUCAGCACACGUGAUGGAUGGAAGGUUGAAAAAUUGCUGCAAAUGAGGCUUGCAAUUGACAUCAGUAUGGUCAACCCUCCCUGUGGCUGUCCUCCAGUGCCUUGGAUCCCAGCUUGGACAAAGUGGGUCCUCAUUAUUCACAGAUUCUGUAUUUCCCAACUUGUCUGCUCACUAAAACUCACUUGGAAUCCCCCCCAAAUAAACACUGGCAUUCACAGCUAUACACAGAAGCAAAAUGAGUCCCAGCUGAGGUCCAGCAAGGUGACGCUCCUGCCUUCUUGCUGCAGCUCACACUGUACACACAUGUCCUUGUCUUGGUCUCUGUAGUGCCCUGUUUUCCACAUUGUUGUGCUUUAUGCUGGUGAUUUUGCUGUUUCAGAUGCCCCCCAUGCAUUGUGUUGAAGCGCAGCCUAGUGUUGACAAGGCCAGAGACAUUCAAUACCAUGGCCAAGGUCACAGGAUAAAAAUAUGGCGCAUGUGAGAUGCAGAACAGGAACCCAACAGGUGUCUGAUUUAAAGGUCAUGGGCAUGGUCAACUCUACUGCUGGGCUCCCGGGAGGCUUAUGCUGGCGGACUGACCCUAGAUCGUCACCCUUGACUGAGGCUGUGCUGGUGGACUGACCUAGAUCCUCAGUCCUGAGUGGAGGUUGCGCUGGUGGACCGACCCUAGACCCUCAAUCCUGGUUGAAGCUGUGCUGGUGUACUGACCUAGAUCCUCACCCAAGCGAGGCUGUGCUGGUGGAUUGACCUAGAUCCUCACCCCUGACUGAGGCUGUGCUGGUGGAGUCACCUUAGAUCCUCACUCCUGGGUGGAGCUUCUGCUGGUGCGCUGACCCUAGAUCCUCAUCCCUGGCAGAGGUUAUGCUGGUGGACUGUCCUACAUCCUUACCCCUGACUGAGGCUGUGCUGAUGGACUGACCUUAGAUUCUCACUCCUGAGUGGAGCUUGUGCUAGUGUGCUGACCCUAGAUCCUCACCCCUGACUGAGGCUGUGCUGGUGGACGACCCUAGAUCCUCAUCCCUGACUGAGGCUGUGCUGGUGGACUGACCCUAGGCCCUCAUCCCUGACUGAGGUUGUGCUAGUGGACUGACCCUAGAUCCACAACUCUGACUGAGGCUGUGCUGGUGGACUGACCCUAGAUCCCCAUCCCUGGCUGAGGCUGUGCUGGUGUACUGUCCUGUAUCCUCACCCUGACUAGGGCUCUGGCAGCACCAUGCAGCCUCCCAGGAUAGUCUGGGUCCUGUUGGCAGCGCCCCUCCUCUUUCUCCUAUCUUCAGAUCAGUGCUGUGGAGCUCUGAGGCUAGGGGAUUCCGGAGUUUCUAGCUCUUGAUGAGGGGAGAGGGCAGGCAGCAGAUCCUGGAGAGUCAGAUGUGAUCUGCAAGCCUUGAGAUAUCCCUGCACCCCAGAAAAAGUCAGGGUUGCUGGCCUUCUUGGUUCUGACUUCCUUUCCUGUGGGUGUCUGGUUCUAGCUUCAUGGGGAGUUGGCACUAGAAAAACUCAGGCUUUUGUGCAUGGAAGCCAGAGUUUUUGUUCCCACCAUGGAGCCCAGGGUGCCCAGACUGUCCGUCCAGGUGUGCUGCCCAGCUCCCAUACCUGAGCCAGGAGAUGUACCUGGUCAGGCUGGUGAGGUGGGUGGGGUGCGGGAGAGGCUCACUGAUCUCAGAAACAGGCUCUGGGACUGUGGGCUCAUGCACAAUAAGACCACAACACCCUUAGCAGACUGGCUCCCAGGAAGGUGCUGGUUUCUAUUUUUAUCUAGAAAUGUUUCUCACUGCCAUUUAGACUUGAGCCCACCUUGACUGGUGAGCUGGGAGGCUAUGGGGUGGGAAGAUAGGUUUCUAGUUAUUUCCUACCCAAGUAUGGUUCAGCGUGGCUCUGCUAGGAGGUUUAAUGCAUUUAUUUAUUCGCACAUUCACUACCCAGAGUGCUUGUUAUGGCAAGUCCUGUGCCAGCGCCCUGGGCACACGGAGGGAUCUGACAGGGUCUCUAGGCCAGUCUAUCUAACUGAUAGACUAGCUUAUCAGUUAGUCCUGGGGAUGGGUGGUCAGUGCCUCACUAACACAGAUGGGAAAAAAUAAAUUGCCUAACAAACUAAGACUAGCUGACAGGUUCUGCAACAGGUAGUCCUCCCCAGAAAAACCAGCUCUUUCCUGCACUUCUGAGCAGCCUCUCCCACCCCAUAGACAAUCCAUGGCCCCACCUCGGGGUGGGUUCUGGUUAUGGGGACAGCAAAGUUGGCUUUGGAAUGUGUGGCCUCACCUGGUGCUCCUUGCUCUCCUUUCUGUCCUGGGACUCCCACAGGGCCUGGAAGGGUGUUGGCGUCUCCUGGGUCACCUCUGUCCCCAGGAGGGCCUGGGAAGCCUGGGUCUCCGUGGAGGUCGGCACCUGUGGAAGAGUUAUGACAGCAGCUGAGGUCGGUGUUUCCAACCACACAGCUGACUUUCCUAAGUGAAAGAACAGCUCGGGGUGCCUCAAAAGCAGAGAAACAGAGGCAGCCAUGGUGAUUUCAGCUUGCAUGACAAUAUAUGGCCUCCAGGUCGCAGGAGUGAGAUUUGAAAGGGAUCUUACAGAGAUCACAGUGGAAGCCCUUGGCUUUAUGGAUAAGAGGAUCGAGGCCCAUCAGAGGGUCCAAAUUCACAGAAACAGUGGGUCAAGGAGCUGGGACCCCUCCCAGGCCUCUUGGCUCCUGGGGGCUGCUCUUCAGGCUAUGCUUAAUUAGGUUUUCAAAGUAAACACUGUCUAAAGUCUUCCCGUUCUCAUAACAGGUGUUCACCGCCAUCGUGGCAGGAAACAGCAAGACAACUUGACGAGGAUCUCCCGCCACUUGCCCAUUGGAACUGGAAUGGAGUGUUAAUGACGCAGGAGUGCGUGAAUUUACAUGUCAUAUACACACACACAAAUUCAUCUGUAGACAGAGCAGUAUUUGGCUAUAUGAAACAUCUACAAAGAGCACAUUCUAAAAGCAGCUUUAGGAUUAUGGGUGCUUUUUUCCUUCUUAAAUGUGUUAAUUUUUAAAUGUGUUUAAAUGUGUUAAUUUUUUUCUCCACUGAACAUAAAUAAUUUGUAUAUAUUGAAAAGAAAACAAGGUUAUCUUUUGAAAAAAAGACACAAUCAAUAAUAAAAUGAUUC